rnacentral:rRNA from 1 species
CCUACGGGUGGCAGCAGUGAGGAAUAUUGGUCAAUGGACGCAAGUCUGAACCAGCCAUGCCGCGUGCAGGAAGACGGCUCUAUGAGUUGUAAACUGCUUUUGUACGAGGGUAAACUCAGAUACGUGUAUCUUUCUGCAAGUAUCCUACGAAUAAGGAUCGGCUAACUCCUUGCCAGCAGCCGCGGUAAUACGGAGGUUUCAAGCGUUAUCCGGAUUUAUUGGGUUUAAAGGGUGCGUAGGCGGUCGGAUAAGUUAGAGGUGAAAUCCCGGGGCUCAACUUCGGAAUUGCCUCUGAUACUGUUCGGCUAGAGUGUAGUUGCGGUAGGCGGAAUGUCUGGUGUAGCGGUGAAAUGCUUAGAGAUCAUGCAGAACACCGAUUGCGAAGGCAGCUUACCAAGCUACUUCUGACGUUGAGGCACGAAAGCGUGGGGAGCAAACAGGAUUAGAUACCCUUGUAGUC